ACACAAUUUCUACUGCCCUUACUUGGUCAGCUUUCAAUUGUAAAUGUUCUCCUUUUUCUGGCCUAGAAUCAUCCGAUAUUCUGACAUUCUUCUAUGUGCCCACAAAAAGUUUGUUGAAGUGAGGAUCUCAGCAUUAAAAGCAAGUUUGAUACAGGAUGCUAUGGAGAAAAUGGAGAAAAUUGGCCGGAUUGUGCUGCCAAACCACAAGGAUAAAAGAUUUUAUGACAAGAAAUACCAAGUGUUUCUAAAACUUGCAGAAGAUCAAAGAAAAUAUAAAUCCAUCAUGCAGAAUGCAUAGACAGCAUGUUAGAGGUCUGACUGAUUUCUUUGACUUUCUUGAUUAGCUAUUUACAUUAGUAAAAAUAAAAAAUACUUUGUAGCCUGUUGAAUAUGAACAGAGAUGUUAUUUUAUUAAAGUGAUAUCAUGGUACAAACUUGUCAAAUCUACGUUUCUUGAAUCAGUGUCUCAACCAGAACUGCAGCUAUCAUUCAGCAUUCAAUUUUUUCAUAAUUGCAUAAUCUGUUUAAAAGCUUGCAAAAAUAUGUGUAUUAGGCAAAAGGGUAUAAAAAUAUAUAGAUAAAAUAUGCAAAUGCAUACUUUUUAAAAUUUGUAAAUUUACGUGAAAAUAAAAUAAACUGAAGCUUGGGAAAGAGAAUGUCAAAAUUAUACAGUAAAUGUACCUUCAUUGGUCAAGCUUUCUAUUUAAUGUCAAAAACUAAACUGGAGAAAGAUUUUCAUUCUUGUUACUUAUUGUUGUUUCCAGUAAUAAAAUCAAGAGUCAUAAUGUGACAUUAUGAGAACCAAGAAUUAAGAAGACAUAUUCUUAAUGAACUUUGUAGAAUAAAUUGCUGCAGAAGAGAAUAGUUAGAUAGAAUUUUACACCUUAUUUUUUUCAAUUCAUUAUCAGUGUAAUUUUAAAUAUGUCUUAAAACUCAUUUGUCAGCCUUCAAUGUAGACUAAGUCAGGAAACAGAAUGUUGGUCUCUUGUUAUACAAGAAUGUUGGAGGAUCUUGAUUUUUGCUAGAGUAACAAAAUGUUAAAAAUCUGGUUGUGUUUUCCUAUCCAUCUUUCUUAUAUUCAGGGAGUUAAGGCAGAAUCCGUUUAAGUUUCUUUCUAAUGUCCUUGAUUUCUGGGUUUAAUAAAUGCAUAGUUUGUUCAAGGUGAUCUUUGUGGCUCUGUCGUAUUGCAG
rnacentral:lncRNA from 1 species